rnacentral:rRNA from 2 species
AGAGUUUGAUCAUGGCUCAGAUUGAACGCUGGCGGCAGGCCUAACACAUGCAAGUCGAACGGUAACAGGAAGCAGCUUGCUGCUUUGCUGACGAGUGGCGGACGGGUGAGUAAUGUCUGGGAAACUGCCUGAUGGAGGGGGAUAACUACUGGAAACGGUAGCUAAUACCGCAUAACGUCGCAAGACCAAAGAGGGGGACCUUCGGGCCUCUUGCCAUCGGAUGUGCCCAGAUGGGAUUAGCUAGUAGGUGGGGUAAAGGCUCACCUAGGCGACGAUCCCUAGCUGGUCUGAGAGGAUGACCAGCCACACUGGAACUGAGACACGGUCCAGACUCCUACGGGAGGCAGCAGUGGGGAAUAUUGCACAAUGGGCGCAAGCCUGAUGCAGCCAUGCCGCGUGUAUGAAGAAGGCCUUCGGGUUGUAAAGUACUUUCAGCGGGGAGGAAGGGAGUAAAGUUAAUACCUUUGCUCAUUGACGUUACCCGCAGAAGAAGCACCGGCUAACUCCGUGCCAGCAGCCGCGGUAAUACGGAGGGUGCAAGCGUUAAUCGGAAUUACUGGGCGUAAAGCGCACGCAGGCGGUUUGUUAAGUCAGAUGUGAAAUCCCCGGGCUCAACCUGGGAACUGCAUCUGAUACUGGCAAGCUUGAGUCUCGUAGAGGGGGGUAGAAUUCCAGGUGUAGCGGUGAAAUGCGUAGAGAUCUGGAGGAAUACCGGUGGCGAAGGCGGCCCCCUGGACGAAGACUGACGCUCAGGUGCGAAAGCGUGGGGAGCAAACAGGAUUAGAUACCCUGGUAGUCCACGCCGUAAACGAUGUCGACUUGGAGGUUGUGCCCUUGAGGCGUGGCUUCCGGAGCUAACGCGUUAAGUCGACCGCCUGGGGAGUACGGCCGCAAGGUUAAAACUCAAAUGAAUUGACGGGGGCCCGCACAAGCGGUGGAGCAUGUGGUUUAAUUCGAUGCAACGCGAAGAACCUUACCUGGUCUUGACAUCCACGGAAGUUUUCAGAGAUGAGAAUGUGCCUUCGGGAACCGUGAGACAGGUGCUGCAUGGCUGUCGUCAGCUCGUGUUGUGAAAUGUUGGGUUAAGUCCCGCAACGAGCGCAACCCUUAUCCUUUGUUGCCAGCGGUCCGGCCGGGAACUCAAAGGAGACUGCCAGUGAUAAACUGGAGGAAGGUGGGGAUGACGUCAAGUCAUCAUGG